CGGAUAUUCUAAACUCCUUAUUGGGAUUAUCUUUAAAACAGGUGGUUGAGGAACCAACUCGUAAGGAGGCCACAUUGGAUUUAGUGUUCACAAAUGGAGAUUUGUUAACAGAUAUUUCUGUAGGUGAAAGUUUGGGAUCUAGUGAUCAUCAGUCUGUGUGGUUUAAUAUACAAACAGUGACUGACUGACUUUUCUAAAAUGAGAAAAUGUAUAGAGGAGUCAUUAUCAGACUGGCACAAUUUAAAUGGUGUUCAGGAGAAAUGGGAUUUUGUAAAAGCUGUUUUAUCGAAGAUAACAGAAAAUUGUAUUAGGUUGGUCAGUAAGAGUAAAAAAUUAAGGAAA